rnacentral:rRNA from 1 species
GCCUUUUGCAUAUGGUCUAGCACAUCUACAAACGCCAGGGGAUUACGAGCACAAGCUUAAAACCCAAAGGAUUUGACGGUGUCCCACCCACCUAGAGGAGCCUGUUCUAUAAUCGAUGAUCCUCGAUAUACCCCACCAUUUUUUGCUUUUUCAGCCUGUAUACCUCCGUCGCAAACUUACCAUUUGAGUGAUCUAAAGUAAGUUCAAUUGGGGCCCCAACACGCCAAUACGUCAGGUCAAGGUGCAGCCUAUAAAAUGGAAAGCAAUGGGCUACAAUUUCUAAUAUAGAACAAACGAAAAACUACAUGAAACAUAGUCAUGAAGGCGGAUUUAGUAGUAAAAGAAGAAUAGUAAGCUUCUUUAAACAAGGCCCUGGGACGUGUACAAACCGCCCGUCACCCUCUUCAACAGCAUUCUUUUUGCUUCAUAACACUCUAUCAGCACCUUAGAAGAGGCAAGUCGUAACAUGGUAAGUGUACUGGAAAGUGCACUUGGUAAU